rnacentral:lncRNA from 1 species
UGACAAUAAUGUACAACUGAAAUUUCACGAGGCUGUAAACUAUCAUGAUCUCAACAAAAAGUUUUUAAAAAAUUUUUCAUCAGCUUUGCUAGAGAAAAGGCUGAACUAUCUUUGUGUUCUCUGUGUAGGAAAUGAUCUUCAACCUCAUUGUGGAGUGUUUUUGAGAACACCCUGUUACCGAACCUGAAGUGAGUUUGCUCACCCAUUGCGCGGCAAGCCAAUCUCUGACGCCGGGUUUGGUGGAAGAAAGUAGAAAUUUUAUUUUUGCACAGCGCUGAGCAAGAAGAGAGGGCAGCUAACGCUCAAAUCCCAAACUCCCCGAAAAGCUAAAAGGAAGGGUUUUUAUUUGGGGUUUUAGGUGGGGGAGGGGGAGCAUAUGGCCUUGCUGGUCGGACCUUUCCCACCAGCCUGUCUUUGGCCUUGAGACACUUGUAGAGAGGAGGGAGCUCAUGACCUUGCUGGUCAGCAGCUUUCCCACCAGCCCGUAUCUCUUUGCGGGAGGAGAUAGUCCAGGUGCUUGUCCUUGGCGGGGUCUGUCUCCGUGGAGGAUAGUGGAUUCUGGAGCCAGGAAGCCAGAGACUAUCCUUUGAUAUCUACUUUAACCAAAAUGUAUGUAAUAAAUUCUGCAAGGAUCUACGCAAAAAAGGUUACCUGAGGGAAACAAAUUCAGGUGAUUUUUACCAUCUUGUUUACCGCUUUUUAAAAACAAUUUUUUCCCAACAGCCAUCCAGAUCCUUAUUUUUAAAAAGUUACUACAUAGAAAUAUUGUUUGAUAAAAGCUACACACACACACAACUUAUAACGCAGUACAGUUUGAAAUAGUUCUGUAAUUUUCCGAUUUAAACGCUUGAGUACGCC